GACUCCUACGGGAGGCAGCAGUGAGGAAUAUUGGUCAAUGGGCGCAAGCCUGAACCAGCCAUGCCGCGUGCAGGAAGAAGGUCCUAUGGAUUGUAAACUGCUUUUAUUUGGGAAUAAACCUAUUUACGUGUAGAUAGCUGAAGGUACCAAAUGAAUAAGCACCGGCUAACUCCGUGCCAGCAGCCGCGGUAAUA
rnacentral:rRNA from 1 species